UCUGUUUGAUCCUGGCUCAGGAUGAACGCUGGCGGUAUGCUUAACACAUGCAAGUCGAACGAAAGUUUUUAACUUUAGUGGCGAACGGGUGCGUAAUACGUGAGAAUCUGCCCUUAGGAGAAGAAUAACUACUGGAAACGGUAGCUAAGUCUUCAUAUGCCGAGAGGUGAAAUAGUUUUAACUGCCUAAGGAUGAGCUCACGCCUGAUUAGCUUGUUGGUGAGGUAACGGCUUACCAAGGCCACGAUCAGUAGCUGGUUUGAGAGAACGAUCAGCCACACUGGGACUGAGACACGGCCCAGACUCCUCCGGGAGGCAGCAGUGAGGAAUUUUCCGCAAUGGGCGAAAGCCUGACGGAGCAAUACCGCGUGAGGGAUGAAGGAUUUUGGUCUGUAAACCUCUUUUCUCAAGAAAGAAGUUCUGACGGUACUUGAGGAAUAAGCAUCGGCUAACUCCGUGCCAGCAGCCGCGGUAAUACGGGGGAUGCAAGCGUUAUCCGGAAUCAUUGGGCGUAAAGCGCCUGUAGGUUGUUUAAUAAGUCUGUUGUUAAAGACUAGGGCUCAACCCUAGAAAAGCAAUGGAAACUACUAGACUAGAGUAUGGCAGGGGUAGAGGGAAUUUCUAGUGUAGCGGUGAAAUGCGUAGAUAUUAGAAAGAACACCGGUGGCGAAAGCGCUCUACUGGACCAUUACUGACACUCAGAGGCGAAAGCUAGGGUAGCAAAAGGGAUUAGAUACCCCUGUAGUCCUAGCCGUAAACGAUGGAUACUAGAUGUUGUGCUUUAUGUACAGUAUCGUAGCUAACGCGUUAAGUAUCCCGCCUGGGGAGUACGCUCGCAAGGGUGAAACUCAAAGGAAUUGACGGGGGCCCGCACAAGCGGUGGAGCAUGU
rnacentral:rRNA from 1 species